UACGUAGGGUGCAAGCGUUGUCCGGAAUUAUUGGGCGUAAAGAGCUCGUAGGCGGUCUGUCGCGUCGGCUGUGAAAACCCGGAGCUCAACUCCGGGCCUGCAGUCGAUACGGGCAGACUGGAGUUCGGCAGGGGAGACUGGAAUUCCUGGUGUAGCGGUGAAAUGCGCAGAUAUCAGGAGGAACACCAGUAGCGAAGGCGGCACUCUGGGCCGUGACUGACGCUGAGGAGCGAAAGCGUGGGGAGCAAACAGG
rnacentral:rRNA from 1 species